AUUUGAAUAAUGAUUAUAACUAGUGUUCAAGCUGGCGCUGUGCUAAUGCCUCUCGCCAUGAUUUGCUUUCGCUCAAAAGUAUAGAAGAGAAAGUAUAGAAGAGGAAAAAGUGUAUAAAAUAAUCUGUCUAAAACUGACUUGCAAUUGUAUAAUUAUGGUAUCAUUUUUGUGUUUUGUGGCUGCUUAUACCAGGACCUCAAGGAUCUAGGAAGCAACAAAGAAGAAGAUUUUGUUUUCAAUUAAUUAUAAGCGGAAGUGCAUAAUUAUUUCAUAAAGUUAGCUUAUCUAUAUAAAGUCACUGAGAAGAAAAGACUUAUUACAUGCAUCUAUUGUUGUAUUAUGUGGCUUUAAUACCAGGACCUCAAGAAAGAAGAAAAUUGGAUCUGUAGUUCAUGCAGUGUAUAAUUAUAAUAUUUAAGAAGAAAAGACUUGUGUACAUACAUAUUGUUAUCUAUAGUAGUGUUUUGUGGCUUACCAGGCCCUCAAGAAAAAUAUGAUUCUGCCAGGAGGAUCUGGAUCUGGGGAAUGAGCGCGCAUGCGCAUUACAUCCAUAGGAAUAAUUAAAGGGUGUGUCCAAAGAGAUCAAUUUCACAAAUGGCUACUGCUAGCUAGCUGUUUUAACAGGUAUUUUCUGAGUCUUGUAGCUAACAAAAAGCUAGCGCUUUAGUGCAAGGCUAACUCAUAUGUUGAAUAGAAAGUUUGUGCGGACAGAUGAUGCUAUGAAAGAUUCUGAAGAGACUGCAACAGCCUUCAAUGUGAGUCAAACUAGCCAUAACUCGAGAAAGAAGCUUUAGUUUGCUAAUCCACGAAUCAAAAUCCAAGAGAACGUGGCUAGAAGCCUAUAGAAGCUGUUAGUUUUCGUUGCAUUGCAACCGUUGAGCAGUUACAGCUGGAACAGACACACAGACACACAGACACACACACACACACACACAGUUAGCCUCGAUUCCAAGCCGCUGAGAAAGACGACGGCCUGGUAUACACUGUUUACGCAUGCGCCAGAAUUACCCAGAAUAUCGGUAAUCGUAAAUUGCAGUAUAUUUAUCAGUAUUCUUAUUCCGCAUUAGUUUGUAAAACAUUGAUAUCCGUUUCAUUUAUAAUGAUGUCAUUGAAAAAAGAAAUCUAGUCCAAGUUGUGUAAUGGCUGCUACCUUCUCUUCUGCUCUCGCGUACGCGUUAUCCUGUGUUGGAAAACCAGGUCUAGUCUUGAAAGACAAGCAGCUGGAGGCGUUAAAGUGUCUGUACGCUGGUGUUUAUGUGGGUACCGUACCGACCGGCUAUGGCAAGUCCCAGAGCAAGUCCAUCUGCUUUCCAGACGCUCCCUUUCUUGAUUGAUGUGAAGCUUGACAGGACCAGUGCACCUCUCUCUGAAAGAAGUGUUGUGAUUGUGAUUUCUCCUCUUGUUUCUCUGAGUGAAGCCAUCUUCAAAGUGUUGGUGUGUCUGUUCGACGUUCAGUGCCAUUCUCUCUGGAAGGAAGUAUUGUUGUGACAUUUGCCGAAAAUUGGUCACAGAGUAAGUACGUGGUAUCUGAUCCGAGAACUGUGUGGCCUGAAUGUGUUUACAAUCCGAGGGACUUGUGUGUAUCCGAUCCGAGGGACUUGUUGCUUGAGUGUGUAUCCGGACUUGUUGCUUGAGUGUGUAUUAAUGGAUAGUGCUUUCAAUGGUAUGUUUAACUAAUUUCUUAUGAGAUUAACUUGUCACCUGAGUGUGUAUCCGAUCCGAGCCUCAAGUUAAUGAAUAAAUCUACAGAGCUGAUGUUUUACUUAGCUGUCUCUGUCUACAGUAUAUACAGAGAGGUAGCCUCUCCUUUUUCUUUUUUCUGUUCUUUAUCACAAUAAGAUAAAAUACUGUUUUAACGUUCAA